GCAUAUCAAUAAGCGGAGGAAAAGAAACCAACAGGGAUUGCCUUAGUAGCGGCGAGUGAAGCGGCAAAAGCUCAAAUUUGAAAUCUGGCGCCUUCGGUGUCCGAGUUGUAAUUUGAAGAUUGUAACCUUGGGGUUGGCUCUUGUCUAUGUUUCUUGGAACAGGACGUCACAGAGGGUGAGAAUCCCGUGCGAUGAGAUGCCCAAUUCUAUGUAAGGUGCUUUCGAAGAGUCGAGUUGUUUGGGAAUGCAGCUCUAAGUGGGUGGUAAAUUCCAUCUAAAGCUAAAUAUUGGCGAGAGACCGAUAGCGAACAAGUACAGUGAUGGAAAGAUGAAAAGAACUUUGAAAAGAGAGUGAAAAAGUACGUGAAAUUGUUGAAAGGGAAGGGUUUGAGAUCAGACUCGAUAUUUUGUGAGCCUUGCCUUCGUGGCGGGGUGACCCGCAGCUUAUCGGGCCAGCAUCGGUUUGGGCGGUAGGAUAAUGGCGUAGGAAUGUGACUUUACUUCGGUGAAGUGUUAUAGCCUGCGUUGAUGCUGCCUGCCUAGACCGAGGACUGCGAUUUAUCAA
rnacentral:rRNA from 1 species